GGGUAAACUCUGAGAGCUACGGAGAGGGCGGGACGAGCGGGCGCGGGGACAGAGAUCCCACCCAGGGUAGCAAAUCUCCGGCACACAGCCUCGGACAGACCGGAGGACGCGGCUUGGUUACUCUCGGAGGGACCGAAGGGCUGUACAGCUGACUUGCUGUUACAAGGUGGGUUCCUUCUGGACAGAAGAGGCGGAGCAUUGUGGGCAUGGCCAAGAAUGGCGCACCGCCCUUCGCUGCUGCCCCCUCGGCUCUGCUUUCUGAUCACCGUGAGGUCUUCAGAUCUCCAGGAACUGUACUUGACUGUGCCUAAGAAACCUCAUAAGCACUGGCAGCUGAUUAGAUGGCAAAAUAUCAACUUUGAGCUGAUGCAAUAAUGGAUGAGACUCUGAGGAUCUUGAAGAGAUAAAAAUAAGAACAAAGAUGAUUUUAUUCCUUCACCCAUCUUUCCUGGAAGGUCUUAACCCACACUGACAAGACUGCAGCAACUGAUGUUGAAUGUGCAGCUGGCAUUAGAGUCCUCAAAAUAAAAAGAGUCCCCAAAAUAAAAAGGGAUGCAGUACCAUGAUGGAAUCUGUGGCCUGUGUAUCCUUGGGUAAAUAGAAUUGUCCUAGACACUUUUUACAAAGAAGAGACUCAUAAAGAAGGAUCUACUCUAGCUAUUUCCACUCAAGUAGAAUUAGGAGUAUCCAAGACUUUAAAACUAGCAAAGUCACUCAUGGGAGUCCCAUCUGCUGCCCUUGAUUGGUUGUCUUUCCCAUUUUCAGAUAUCUCAGUUGGUUUCCUACUGGGCUAGGUCUUUUCUGCUUUGCCUCUAGUUUAUAAUGAUUCUUCUUAUUCUAGUUAACUCUUAUCUAUUUUGAUACCCCCAACACAACACUGGCCUUUCAUUAAUGAUUUUUCCUCUAUCCAAGGCACUCCUUUUCUCAACACAAAACUUAGGCCCCAAAGUAUACCUGAUUUCUAGAAUGUAGCCAGAGUGGUUGUCACCCUAGUACAUUAAGGAAUUAAAAAAAAGACAACUGAGGUUUGAAAUUGACCAGGCUUGGACACACAUUCCCUAAAUUCCAAAGUUCUUGUCUUUCAGGAAAAGCCUCUAGAUCUUCCAUUAAUAAUUCUUACUGUUCUGAACCUGCUUUUCACAUGGAUAUGCACAAAAGCAGCCGGCUCACCUAGUCAAUGACAUCACAAGCCCAAAAUUCUCUGCACCCAAUAUAACUCCUUCCUCCCAAAAGAAACACGGACACUGCCGAGCCUCACUACCCAAUCACCAGGC
rnacentral:lncRNA from 1 species